rnacentral:lncRNA from 1 species
GUGAUUCAGCGUCCCUCUUAGCAGCAGGCAAUGACAGAGGCAGGAGAGGGGAAAAAAAAAAAGAAAGAAAGAAAAAACACAGCAAAUGAAUCAAACGGACGUGAGUAACAAAAGUUUAGAAAGAGCUGGGCUCGUAUUCAGAAAAAACGCCUCAUCCCCCCGCCCCGCUGCACUCCCAACCCCUUUAAAAAUAGCAGAUAAUCAAGAAAGGAAACGGGUGCUUUCAUAUGGAAAUACAGAUGUGUAUGUUGUUUUCAAUAUUCUACUGUUUUUUUGUGUGUGGCAUGCAAUUACUCAGGCACUGGGCAAAAUUCAGCCUUUGGAUUUUGUGGUCACACAUACCCCAACUCCGCAACAGCUAUUAAUUUGCAGGGCGAUGGGGUGCGGAUAGUGGAUGAGAUACAAGAAAGCAUUCCAAUUAAAAUGCCCCCCCCCACCCCGCCUUUUAAUUUUCCAGACACUUGCUUUUAUUUUUCUUUUUUUAAACAUCAUCAAAACAAGAAUAUUAAACUUGAAGCAGAAUUUGUUACAGCGUAUCUGACUCAGGACCUGAUUUAAGGUUUGGGGUUUUUUGGCCCUUUGUUUCUUCCUCUUGUUUUUUGACCUUUAGUUACUCCACACCUCAUUAGUUCCUUGACCUGCAGGUGGACUGAGAAGAGAGCCAUGCAGGUAGCAGGCAAGAGUGUGGUUAUCGUUGGACCAGGAUUCAGGAUCUGACUGAGUAGCUGACUCUUAAUCCAGUUUGUGUUGAUCACCAGGAGGAUCUGGACCUCAGUAUUACCACAUCUAGAGCUAUAAUCACAUCCCUGUUAAGCCUUCCUGAGAUCACACCAAAUGUCCUUGAUGGGAAUUGUAAACAACCCUUACUUCUGGUUUCUAAUGAUAUUCCAGGAAAGGAGCCUAACUAGAGUCAGUGAUAUGCCAACUCCACCUUUGCCUUCCACCAUGUUUGGAAGCUCCCUGAGGCCUCACCAGGAGCAGAUGCUCGUCCCAUGCUUCCUAUAAGCCUGCAGAACUGUGAGCCAUAAUAAACUGUGAAUUAUAAAUUGCCUUUAUAGCAAUGCAAAUGGACCAGUACAGAUGGGAUGCUGGGAAGACAGUUGUUUCCACCUUCAGUAAAGUCCGUGGAACACAGUUGUGACUAUAUUCUAGGCCAGCCAAGAUGCUUGUACUCAGAAAGGAGUGGUCUCAGGACCAUAAGAAAGUGAAAAAAUAAAAAUAAGAAAAUAAAGAAGGGAUUGUCAAUGAAUCAGAAUUCAUCAAGGUCAAAGUCUUAGGAAAUUCCUUCAUGAGGAAGUCUAGGGGGGCUAUGGAAAUGAAAUUUUUAAACAAAUAGGUAUGUGGUGCUGGCAGGAAUAAAUUAUGGACUUAUGAAUAUAACAUAAGAUUCUUUAUUACCUGGUCUCACCCGUCUUUCCACCUCUGCCCCCCUUCUUGCCCGACUCUGUGUAUCACCCAUAAUAAACUACUUACAGCUUCCUAGUGUUAAAUUUACCCUAAAGCUGCCUCCUUCAAUAUUUUAAGUUUAACCUAAAGGUUCUUCAUACAUAGUGAACUAUAACCCAAUGAUUAAACAGAUUGUAACCUACUCUUGUACCAGUCACCAAGUUUCAGCCAAUCAGAGGUGGCCAACUGUUCAAACCAUGCUCAAAUAAGGGAAAUGUCAUGGUGUAACUAAUCCAGCUGUUUCUAUACCUUACUUCUGUUUUCUUAGGUCACUUUCCUUUUUUGUCCAUAAAUUCUCUCCAACCACUCAGCAGCACUGGAGUCACUCCAAAGCUAUCCUGGUUCAGGGGUCUGUCUGAUUCACAAGUCAUUCUUUGUUCAAUUGAGCUCUGCUAAAUUUAAUUUGUCUGAAGUUUUUCUUUUAACAGAUGGUGUCAGAAAUGGACCCCAAAGUAGAGCUCCCAGUGAUCCCCCAGGAGCACUGAGUGACCACAAGGGGUACCUGCUGGGCCCGUCCUCUCGCAGUGUCCACUGCUCUCUUACAGCAACUGGAGAUUGUGGCUGCAUUCUCUCUCAGAUUCUGAAGCUCCAUACAUUGCCGUUUUCAGCUGUUCAAGCUUGCUUGAGCAAAUUUUUGAUCUUAGCUGAGUUUGGAAGUCGAUAGACAUUGGACUGGGUCCAGGAUUUGAUUGGAUCUGAUAAUUAACUGGCUUGGAUCCAGUUAGAUGCCUCGGUUAUCUGACUGGGUCAGAUAGAAACCGCCAGUAAAUAUUUUAAUAACAAUACUGCAGGGGUAUGAACUCUGGCUUUAAGAAACUCACAAGGAAUUUUAUGUUCUAUACCCUUUGUUUCUUUUUCUUGUGUGCUUCGGUCAGGAAAAAUCAUUAGUCAAGUUAAUCAAGGGGAUCUGAGAGCCAAAUACAAGAUUCAACGUAAAAAUGGAAUCCUUGGGCUAGGCGUGGUGGCUCAGGCCUGUAAUCCCAGGACUUUGGGAGGCUGAGGCAGGCGGAUCACCUGACCUUAGGAGUUCGAGACCAGUCUGGCCAACAUGGUGAAACCCCGUCUCCACUAAAAAUACAAAAAUUAGCCAGGCGUGGUGGUGGGCACCUGUAAUCCCAGCUACUUUGGAGGCUGAGGCAGGAUAAUCACUUGAACCCAGGAGGCAGAGGUUGCAGUGAUCUGAGAUUGCACCACUGCACUCCAGCCUGGGCAAAAGAGCGAGACUCCAUCUCAUAAAUAAAUACAUAAAUAAAUAAAGAAAUCCUUAAUUUCUGCGGAACUGAGUGCUCUACCUUCUGGCUACACCUACGUAUACCUGUAUGAGGUAUAGGCCCUGGAAGCAGCAAACACUUACAGAAAUGGUGAAAUCUUACUAAAGGUAAUCUAAAGUUAUGGUGGAACAUCCCAAAUGAACAACACUGCACUUUAGGAAGUACAUAUAAAAAUGAAGUCUCCCAAUUUAGUAUUAUUCAGGGAUGGCUGUUGAAGUUCAGAAGCUUCUAAAAAGAUUCCAAUAAUUUUACAGAUUCUUUUAAAAGAUUCUUUGUAAAAGGCAAAUAAAAAGCUUAAGUGACUAAUCAGAAAAAUUAGGUCUUCUAACCUUUUGUCAUUGUUACUGUCUUGCCCUGAAAGGGAAAAGAAAGCUGGAUAAAGUAUUUAUAGAAGAUAGAGGACCUGUGGUGGCUCAUGCCUGUAAUCCAAGGUGGAAGGAUUGCUUGAGGCCAGAAGUUCAAGACCAGUCCAAGCAACAUAGCAAGGCCCCAUCUCUACAAAAAAUGAAAAUAAAAUUAGCCGAGCGUGAUGGCUCAUGCCUGUAGUUCUAGCUUCUAGAGAGGCUGAGGCAGGAGGAUUGCUUGAGUCCAGGAGUUCAAGAUUACAGUGAGCUAUGGUCACACCACUGCACUCCAGCCUGGGUGAUGGAGUGAGACUGUCUCAAUAAAAAGACAAAAAGGUAAGCCCUUAGGUAAAGUAAGCUUGCUUCUUUGUUAGAGCUAUCCAUGCUGAGUCCAGGCAAAGAAAAUGCUUUCUUUGGCCUGGUGCGGUGGCUCAUGCCUGUAAUCCCAACACUUUUGGAGGCCAAGGUGGGCAGAUCACAAGGUCAAGAGUUCAAGAUGAGCCUGACCAACAUGGUGAAGCCCCAUCUCUACUAAAAAUACAAAAAUUAGCCAGGUGUGGUGGUGCGCACCUGUAAUCCCAGCUAUUCAGGAGGCUGAGGCAAGAGAAUCACUUGAACCCAGGAGGCAGAGGUUGCAGUGAGCUGAGAUUGCACCUUUGCACUCUCACUCUGGCCUGGGCAAUAGAGCAAGACUCCAUCUCAAAAAAAAAAAAAAAAGAAAAAAGAAAAUGCUUUCUUUGCACAGUUCAGUAAUGAGCUCUGCCCCGAACUCAGUAAUUUUAGCAAAGAAACAGUAGCUAAGUUAAGAAGACCGCCUAUUGAACUAAGUUGGUCUCCAAAAUGUACCUUUCUGGCAUUUAGAUGGCUACUUUGAAACCCUUUUGUAAAUGAAAUUUACAUCUAUAAAGGAAAUCGCCAUCUGUAAGGGCAUCUACACUGAGAAGAGGGUGGACUGGGUCACUAGAAACUCUUACCACUGAUCUAACAUAAAUCUUACCAUUGUUUAAGGUGCUUUUCCUUGCCAUCUUGUCUUAACCGGGCCUUUACCGACACUUUUCUUCCUUGGUUUAGGGAACCAGUGGUACAGUAUUUAGGCCCAAAGUCUCAGCUCUGUGCUUUUGAGAUAUGAAUUUUUCACCGUGUUCCACCUAAUAGCAUCCCUUUAGAAGUACAAAUUUAGGGCCGGGCGCGGUGGCUCACGCCUGUAAUCCCAGCACUUUGGGAGGCCGAG